rnacentral:rRNA from 1 species
UACGUAGGGUGCAAGCGUUGUCCGGAAUUAUUGGGCGUAAAGAGCUUGUAGGCGGUUUGUCGCGUCUGCUGUGAAAUUUCGGGGCUCAACCCCGAACUUGCAGUGGGUACGGGCAGACUAGAGUGUGGUAGGGGAGACUGGAAUUCCUGGUGUAGCGGUGGAAUGCGCAGAUAUCAGGAGGAACACCAAUAGCGAAGGCAGCUCGCUGGGACGGUACUGACGCUGAGGCGCGAAAGCGUGGGGAGCGAACAGG